rnacentral:miRNA from 1 species
AGGGACUUUUGGGGGCAGUUGUG